AAGAAUUUCUUGAGCACGAGGUCACCUUCUCGGAACACACGAGGCUUGACCUUCUUAUCGAAUGCUUUUUCACUCUCUGCUGAUAUGACUGUCCAUGACACAUGGCAGUUGAUCUCUUCUUUUCGAUCGAAUUCAGCAUCAGCCAACUUGGGACUUUGAGGGUGCUAUUCUUCCUUUUGCUUCUUUCUUUCUUUUCUUUUUUCUGAUUUGAUUUCUUUUGAUUUCUUUUGAUUCUGCACCCUCCUCUUUCUUUUUUCUUUUUUUUUU
rnacentral:lncRNA from 1 species